rnacentral:rRNA from 1 species
GUGAAAACCAGCAGCUCAACUGCUGGCUUGCAGGCGAUACGGGCAGACUUGAGUACUGCAGGGGAGACUGGAAUUCCUGGUGUAGCGGUGAAAUGCGCAGAUAUCAGGAGGAACACCGGUGGCGAAGGCGGGUCUCUGGGCAGUAACUGACGCUGAGGAACGAAAGCGUGGGUAGCGAACAGGAUUAGAUACCCUGGUAGUCCACGCCGUAAACGGUGGGCGCUAGGUGUGGGUUCCUUCCACGGAAUCCGUGCCGUAGCUAACGCAUUAAGCGCCCCGCCUGGGGAGUACGGCCGCAAGGCUAAAACUCAAAGGAAUUGACGGGGGCCCGCACAAGCGGCGGAGCAUGUGGAUUAAUUCGAUGCAACGCGAAGAACCUUACCUGGGUUUGACAUAUACCGGAAAGCUGCAGAGAUGUGGCCCCCCUUGUGGUCGGUAUACAGGUGG